GACGAACGCUGGCGGCGUGCCUAAUACAUGCAAGUAGAACGCUGAAGAGAGGAGCUUGCUCUUCUUGGAUGAGUUGCGAACGGGUGAGUAACGCGUAGGUAACCUGCCUUGUAGCGGGGGAUAACUAUUGGAAACGAUAGCUAAUACCGCAUAACAAUGGAUGACACAUGUCAUUUAUUUGAAAGGGGCAAAUGCUCCACUACAAGAUGGACCUGCGUUGUAUUAGCUAGUAGGUGAGGUAACGGCUCACCUAGGCGACGAUACAUAGCCGACCUGAGAGGGUGAUCGGCCACACUGGGACUGAGACACGGCCCAGACUCCUACGGGAGGCAGCAGUAGGGAAUCUUCGGCAAUGGGGGCAACCCUGACCGAGCAACGCCGCGUGAGUGAAGAAGGUUUUCGGAUCGUAAAGCUCUGUUGUAAGUCAAGAACGAGUGUGAGAGUGGAAAGUUCACACUGUGACGGUAGCUUACCAGAAAGGGACGGCUAACUACGUGCCAGCAGCCGCGGUAAUACGUAGGUCCCGAGCGUUGUCCGGAUUUAUUGGGCGUAAAGCGAGCGCAGGCGGUUUGAUAAGUCUGAAGUUAAAGGCUGUGGCUCAACCAUAGUUCGCUUUGGAAACUGUCAAACUUGAGUGCAGAAGGGGAGAGUGGAAUUCCAUGUGUAGCGGUGAAAUGCGUAGAUAUAUGGAGGAACACCGGUGGCGAAAGCGGCUCUCUGGUCUGUAACUGACGCUGAGGCUCGAAAGCGUGGGGAGCGAACAGGACUAGAUACCCUGGUAGUCCACGCCGUAAACGAUGAGUGCUAGGUGUUGGAUCCUUUCCGGGAUUCAGUGCCGCAGCUAACGCAUUAAGCACUCCGCCUGGGGAGUACGACCGCAAGGUUGAAACUCAAAGGAAUUGACGGGGGCCCGCACAAGCGGUGGAGCAUGUGGUUUAAUUCGAAGCAACGCGAAGAACCUUACCAGGUCUUGACAUCCCGAUGCUAUUUCUAGAGAUAGAAAGUUACUUCGGUACAUCGGUGACAGGUGGUGCAUGGUUGUCGUCAGCUCGUGUCGUGAGAUGUUGGGUUAAGUCCCGCAACGAGCGCAACCCCUAUUGUUAGUUGCCAUCAUUCAGUUGGGCACUCUAGCGAGACUGCCGGUAAUAAACCGGAGGAAGGUGGGGAUGACGUCAAAUCAUCAUGCCCCUUAUGACCUGGGCUACACACGUGCUACAAUGGUUGGUACAACGAGUUGCGAGUCGGUGACGGCAAGCUAAUCUCUUAAAGCCAAUCUCAGUUCGGAUUGUAGGCUGCAACUCGCCUACAUGAAGUCGGAAUCGCUAGUAAUCGCGGAUCAGCACGCCGCGGUGAAUACGUUCCCGGGCCU
rnacentral:rRNA from 1 species